CUCAACACAUUAUUUUAUUGAUGAUUCGAUCAGUAAUCUGCUCGAUCUGUAAUAAGGGCAACAGAUGGAGGUCAAACACAUGCAGAAAGCAGCAACGAAGAACACAUGCAGAAAGCAGCAACACUAGACAACCCCAGCCGGCUAGCUAUCCGUAGCCUGGUGUGAUGAUGCUGAUAGAAACUUAGUGAAGCCUGCAAACAUACACAGACAAAAGCUCAACGGUUAGUCUCACUAUUUACUUACAAAUUAGGGUAUCUUUAAUGGUUGUAAGAUAGUUGUUGGUAGACUUUGACAUAUAUAAUUUUUGAUGAUGUGUCAUGCAAUAAAUGAGGAAAGAGGAAAAUGUUGUAUGUACAUAAACCAACACCCCUUACACAAGCUCCAAUGUAGAAUGAGAGAGCACUUUAUUUAUUAUCUCACAUCCUAUUGAGCAAACUAGAUACAAUCCAACGAAGUUGUUGUAUGUUAAAAUGUUGAUUGAUGACAUGACAUAUUUUAUCAACAAGCUAACAUACAAACAGUUGAGGAUGUUUUUAAAGAGUAAAUGACAAAUGGGUACGCCUAGGACAUGCACGGUGCGAUCGCGGACGCCACGUCGCCGCAGGUCACCACCGUUCUGGCGUAGGUGUUCUUGCAGCAUUGCAUUGCAGGGUGGCGGACGGUGGUGAGUGCAUGCACGUGUUCAUGCAGGUGCGUCGUACGUAGCUACUGGGGCAUGCAUAUGAUGCGAAAACUUCUGCAUCUGCAUCAGUGGCGAAUCUAAAAAAAAAUGAAGGGCGGGCUGGGCUGUCUGGGUCAUGCAAAUAUGUGUUGGAUUGGGCCUGCAAGUAGUUGGACUGGGCCUUAAAACUAGUAGUAGAAACAAAUUUUACAGUGCUGAAGGGGAGGCUUGUGUUGGUAAUAAGCCAUGCCCGUGCCUGUGCGGUGGUGACCGGCGUCAACGCGACAAUCAUGAUGGGCACAGGGUGUGUGUCGGCGUGAGUCCAUGCUCGCGUUCCUGACAUGAAGGAGCUGCAUGCACAGAGGCUGUUGCGAUCUGUUGGAGCUAGCUACUUGGUGUACGCGUGACUCGCGUGGGGUUAGUUAGUGCAUGGAUUAGAUUAGCUGGAUAAGGUUGUUAGCUAGUGCGUGAGUGCCGGCCAAGUUAAUUGAGUUAGUGGAGCCGAGUGUAGCAAUGUAGCCACUGUAAAAAAGAAAAGGAUUUGGGCGUUCGUGCGCCCGUGGCGGCGUUCGUGCGCCGGCCCGAAAUUUCUUGUGUCUUGCGUCUUCUUCUACCUCUAGCCGAGAGUGAGAGAAGGCUGCUGUUCCAACAUUUGGUGUCAGAGCUGGUUCAUUUUGGGUGUCGUCACCUUGCCGGAGGCGUGCCGGCGGUGACGACGUUCGCCGGCGGCUGCGCGGUGAAGCUCCGGGUCGUGUGUCGGCCUAUGGAGGUGGGCGACGCUGCGGCUGUCAUGGUGCGUGGCGGAGGCGGCGGACGAUGAUGUCGUACAUGCGGCGACCACGGAGGCAGCUGAGGCGUGGCGUGGUGGCGCAGCGGCGCUGCACGGCGGCGUGGAUGUUGCUGCGGCUGUGGCGCGGCAUCCGGGGAACGUCGACAAUGAGUGCAGCGCGGUGGCCAUGGUGCGGAGGCCGGGCGGUGCGGCACAGGUCGUCCCGUGUGAGGGGCCGCCGGCAACGAGUACAAGACGACGUCGACGGCAAGGUCAUGGCUUAGGGGGUGAGUGUUGGUAAUAAGCCAUGCCCGUGCCUGUGCGGUGGUGACCGGCGUCAACGCGACAGUUCUGGUUCAUGAUGGGCACAGGGUGUGUGUCGGCGUGAGUCCAUGCUCGCGUUCCUGACAUGAAGGAGCUGCAUGCACAAAGGCUGUUGCGAUCUGUUGGAGCUAGCUACGUGGUGUGCGCGUGACUCGCGUGGGGUUAGUUAGUGUAUGGAUUAGAUCAGCUGGAUAAGGUUGUUAGCUAGUGCGUGAGUGCCGGCCAAGUUAAUUGAGUUAGUGGAAAUGUAGCCACUGUAAAAAGAAAAGGAUUUGGACGUUCGUGCGCCCAUGGCGGCGUUCGUGUGCCGGCUUGAAAUUUCUUGUGUCUUGCGUCUUCUUCUAUCUCUAGCCGAGAAUGAGAGAGGNNNNNNNNNNNNNNNNNNNNNNNNNNNNNNNNNNNNNNNNNNNNNNNNNNNNNNNNNNNNNNNNNNNNNNNNNNNNNNNNNNNNNNNNNNNNNNNNNNNNNNNNNNNNNNNNNNNNNNNNNNNNNNNNNNNNNNNNNNNNNNNNNNNNNNNNNNNNNNNNNNNNNNNNNNNNNNNNNNNNNNNNNNNNNNNNNNNNNNNNNNNNNNNNNNNNNNNNNNNNNNNNNNNNNNNNNNNNNNNNNNNNNNNNNNNNNNNNNNNNNNNNNNNNNNNNNUUCGAUGUGAUUUCUUCGUGUGAACGUAUGGAGCCUGUGUGCGAGCUAGCACAAGUGUGCGGAUCUGGAAGAAGGGCGGGCUAGUGGUAAGUAGGUGGACCGUCGUUAUCAAACACAAAAAUGGGACGGACAUUAAUUAACAUGAUACGGAGUAAAUUUUCUGUACGAUCGAUAUGUUCAUCUACCAUGCCAUGCAUUGAGAAAAGCAAAGCUAGGAUCUAUGACUAAUGAAGUACUCCUUUGUUUUUAAAUAUUUAUCUUUUUAGGUAUUUUAAAUGAACUACCAUAUAUAAAUGUAUGUAAACAUAUUUUAGAGUGUAGAUUCAUUCAUUUUGCUUCGUAUGUAGUCACUUGUUGAAAUAUGUAGAAAAACAAAUAUUUAAGAACGGAUGGAGUAUGUAAUAAUUUCCACCGGCAAAUGUACUGAUCAGGCGGUGCAGAGUGAUCAAUGCCAGCCACAUGCGGUGCUUUAUUUCUUAACUCCAACCAAGUGGAGCCCAUAUCAAGCAUACUCCUACGAGAGAAUAUCAUAUGAAAACCAAUAUUUUCGUGGAAACCAUCUUUAGAAGUUUUUAAAAAUAUGAAAAAUAUUAAUAUGGGAUGUUAAGCGGGUGAUGUUCUAUUGCUAUGCGAGAUUCCAAGUUAAAAAACAUUACAUGAUGCGAUUUAUGGAAAAAAUAUAUUUGCAGUGAAUAGUGACAUUAUUGUUUGGCACUAUUCAAUGUUGAUUUUGUUAUUUUUUAGCUCUCAUCCAGUAAUGCGUUUGAACUUGGAAUUUCACAUGUCAAUAGAACAUCACUUUCUUAACAUCUCUUUUUUUUAGAUUUUCUUGAAACUUCAAACCAUCUUUUCCGCGUGGUUUUCAUUGGGUUGCACCAAAUGUUGACUUCCAUGAGAGAAGAUCACAUGAAAACCAACAUUUAAAGAAAAGUUCGUGAAAACCACCUAUGAAAGUGUUGGAAAAAAGGAAAAACAGUGGGAUGUUAAGAGGGUGAUGUUCUAUUGCUAUGCGAAAUUCCAAGUUGAAAAACAUCUGUAAUUAAGUCAUAUUUUUCUUUUAAUUAUAUAGCAAAAAUGGGAUCUAUGAUUUAUAUUUUCUUAUAGGAAUAUUUCAAAUGUUUUGAUUGAGAACAAAUAAAUAAUAGUAUGAUUAAAUUUGUCUCGAAAGACAUACUCAUAACAUAAUUUGAGUGAAUUCAAAUUUUCACCCAUUACUUUGGCAUUUUGACACUAAUUAGCCAUUCACAACUUUUCAUCCGGACUAGAUGACCCGUUGAAUGAUUUUUUUUGCCGAACUACAUGCAAAAUAGAAGGUUCAUCGAUUAUGCUCAACUGUGUUCGAUAGAUACGUCAAGUUUGGCGAACUCACCGGUAUCGAGUCUGUUGCCCUCACAAACUUAAAGCCACCCUCGGCCUUGAGGACGAAUAGCGGCCGAGCUGAUAGUUCCCAAGGGAGUGAAUUCCACUUUUUACCCCAUAUUUAUACAUUUGUGACACUAAUUACCCCUUCGAGUGAAAAUUCGUCUAGAAUACCCCUUUUGAAAUCUUUGGACCCUUGUUUUUUGAUGCGUGUCCAUCAGGUAAGGUGUGAGGUGACGCCCUGUAUCCAAAAACAUGUGGACGGCUACAAGGAGUGGAACAGAUAGACAAGAGAAGCUUGGACAAGAUCGCCAAUGAUGCCCUCCGAUCCUUACAGUUUUUUUUACAAAUCAAUGACGCAACAUGCCGAUCCUAUCGACCAUAAACAGACAAAAUGUAAAACUGGGGUAAAACCGUGUUAAAAGUCUUCAAAAUCUGACAUUUCGAUAAAAGUUCCGCUAAAUAGGGUAAUAUGUGUCACAAAUGUACAACUACAAGGUAAAAAAUGGAAUUCACUCUUCCCAAGGAGUAGCGCCGAGAGGGCGCAACGCCAUAUGGGGUUCCACGGGCAUGUACUCCUCAUGAAGCGUGGGAGACGCGACGUAUCGGCCUCAUUAAUUCCCCACUUCAUGCAAAGGGCGUCAUGGUGUACGAACAUGCGAUGUUAUACGAGGCAAAUUUGACAAUUUUGACCUCAGGAUGAAAUCAAAUCACAGAAUGAACUGCCCGUGAAACUAUUUCACGCGGCUGAUCUUUUUGUGUGACGCUCGACACGCAGGCGCCACACCCUACGGUGCAGCGCCUAGCUCUGGGGCGUUGCACCUCUGUCCAUCGUGGCAGCCCCUGAGCCCGCACCCAGCAGUGCAGCGCCUCAGAGCUAGGCGCUGCACAUGUAAUGUGCAGCGCCUAGCCCUUAGGCGCUGCACUGUCUGUUACUAGUUGGCUGCCCCCCUCCCCCCACCCCACACACCCCUACCCCCAUAACAUCCGACCCGAGAUUUGCCACCUCUUUUCCUCUCUCCCCCUCUCAAAUCCUCUCCCAAAUCUUGGAAAUUUGAAGAUUUUGUCCGUGGAUUUCAAACUCAAACCCUCCCUCAAGGUAAUCUUCUACGAUCCCCUUGUUUUGAUCCAAGUAAUGUUAACAAAUUGCUCAUUUGUUGCUAGUUUGUGGAAACCCUAGUUUUGUAUGGAUCUAGAGAUUUGCAUGGAGAUGUGAGAUGUUUGUUUGCCAAUUUCCUAUGAUUAGGCUUGUUAGUAUGGUAGGGUUAUUCUUAUGGGUGUUCUUAUGUUGGUGCUAGGGUUAGGGUUGUUGUUUCAUAUGUAUUUUAGGGUUUGUAUACCGUGUUAAUCCUUGGAUUAGAACUCAUGAAAGCAAUGUUACGUUGUGUUGUUUGAAUGCUUAUAGGGAUGGGAAGAACAUGUGUGUUUGUUCAUCAUGGGAACAAAUACGCCUUCUUGAAAGGCAAUAUUGAACCGGACCCGGAUGAGUUUGACAUGGUGUUUGAUAGUAGUCCUAGCUAUGCGGAGCUCUUGCAACAAGUGAGGAAAGAGUUGAAUUGGAUGGACCCUAGUGAUAUCGUUGAGUUGGAGGGAAGGCAUAAUGUUGGUUUUGGAAUGCACAUCCGUUGGAAGACAAUGCGUGUCAAUUCGGAGCAAUAUUGGGUUGCAUACAAGGAGACGGUGGCCGAAUCACUAGACAAGGCUCUUGAGUUAUUUGCAACGAAGAAGGUUGAUUCAAGUUUGCAUUUGGGCUUGAACCGGAACCCCUCCCCUUUGGUUGCUUGUAUCCCCCCACCCUUGAAGCGAGAUGAAAUUGUUGAACCUCUUUUGACCCAAGAAGUGAGGCCAACAUUGAGAAUGUUUCCAAACAACCAAAAUGAAGCUUUGCAAGAGGAGAAUGAUGAGUAUGCGGACGAUGACAAUGAAGUUGAUCUCCAUGACAACAAUGUGGGUGAUCUCGACAAAUAUCAUUUGCAAGAGACAAUGGAACAUUCCAUCCCUUAUUCCCAUGGCUAUGCAUCAGAUUCAGAUGACAAAGGUCCCGAUGAACAAGUUGAUGAGGAGGGGUUCACGGUGAAGGAGGCCGAAGCUUUUGAGAAGGUAUUCAGUCAUGAUCAUCAGACUACAUUGUUCAAGGAUGGUAGUCUCGCGGAUGAAGCCAUGGUAGAUGGUGGCCAAGGUAUAUCUCUUAGGGUUAGGCCAAGAUCCCACCGUGAUUUGGAUGACGACAAUAACGGGAUUGCUAAAGGGUCUAAGUUCGUACCUUCUUGGAAUUGAAGAUGUGGCUCGAAACUGCUCGGUUACGCAUUAUCGUCCACACAAGGUGGUGAACUCGGACGUCAAUGCGUGCUACACGGUUGCAUGUGCAUGUGAAGAUGAAAUAUGUCUGUGGAUUGUGUGUGCAAGACCAUGGAAAGGAGGUCCCACUUGGUAUGUAGUGAGUUGUGUGCCAACUCACAUGUGCCGAGGCAAAAGGGUGGAUGGGAAGAUUGUGUCCCAAGACUACAGACAACUCACGUUCGAGUUCAUCGCUUACAGGCUCUCCAACUCAAUAUCCACAGUUCCAACAAUGAGCGUCCAACAUGUUAUUGACCUUGUGAAAGCCAUCUUUCAUUACAAGGUGAAGUACGGCAAGGCAUGGAAGGCGAAGCAAGCUGCAUUUAAGAUGUUGUAUGGUACUUGGGAGGAAUCAUACAACCUAAUCCCUAGGUUGUUGUUAGCCAUGGCCGCCACAAACCCGGGCAUGGUUCAUAUGGUCGAGCCUCAUGGGGAAAAACAACGGUUCAUGAAGGAAGGGAAGUCCGAGUAUUUGGCCGUGCUUUUUGGGCGUUCGAGCAAUGUGUGAGGGCUUUCGAACACUGUAGGCCGGUCAUUGCCAUUGAUGGCACGUUCUUGACUGGACAAUACAAGGGCACCUUGUUGGUUGCGAUAGCAAGUGAUGCCAAUAACCGGGUGUUGCCAUUGGCAUUUGCUUUGGUUGAAGUGGAGAACAAUGACAACUGGGAGUGGUUUUUGCGUCUUUUGAGGACGAAGGUGUUACCCGCUCAGAGGGAAAUUUGUGUCAUAUCAGAUCGGCAUCAAGGAAUUCUUAACGCGGUGUAGAUUGACAUUCCCGGGCAUGCUCCAUUGCACCAUCGAUGGUGCAUGAGGCACUUUUGUUCCAACUUGUAUAGGGCAUGUGGCAUUAAGGAGUUGGCCGAUGAUCUUCAAGAUUGUUGUCUCGCUUUCUCCGAAAAGCGGUUCGCCACUUUGUACAACAAAUUGCUCGCACAAAAAAAACUUGAUCCCGGUGGUCAAGACUUUCUCAAUAGGCACAUUCAAUAUCGGAACAAGUGGACACGUGCUUUUGAUGAAGAUGGCCGAAGAUACGGUCAAAUGACAAGCAAUAUGGCCGAAUGCUUCAAUAGGGUGCUCAAAGGUGCACGUGGAUUACCCAUGACGGCAAUAGUUCAAUACACAUUUGACAAGAUGAAUGCGUACUUUCUAAAGUACUCCAUGGAAACGGAUGCACAAAUAGCGGGUGGGAACAAUCGCAAGUACAAGUACAAGUUCCCACCCAAGGUUGAUGAAUGGUUGGAAUUUCAAUCACGGAAGGCAGACUCACAAGAAGCUAUACUAUAUAACAACGAAGAAUGGAAGUACGAAGUGAAAGAGCCAGGAGGAACCACAAAAUGAUGGCCGCCAACAUGAAGGCUGGGCUUUCAAGGUGUCGCUAACACGUUGUGAUUGCUCUUACGGGAGGCCAUUGUUGCUUCAUCUCCCAUGCUCACACUUGUAUACCGCCGGUCGCAUUAGAAAUGUGGAUGUCAAUCACCCACUCACCGUGAGGGAGUCGGAGUUCUCAAUCAUGACCGUCAAGAAAACAUGGGCUCCCCGCUUUCACCCAUACUUUGACCAAUCACAAUGGCCAGAGUACCAUGGAAUUCAACUAUGACCGGAUCCGGAGUUGAAGGUUGUUAAAUGGGGUAGACGUAAGACAAAGCGUCUUAGAGGAGACAUGGACGGAUGGGGCCAUGGUGGCCGCUACGAAGCGGGCAACGACUGAUUCCAAGAGCCUCGUGAGAGCUCCAGUUGUGGGGAAUGCAAAGGUCAUGGCCACAACAAAAUAAAAUGUACGAAACCAAGGAAAAGGUCCAAGAAAAAUGAUGCAAGCACAAGCCAACAAGGAGCUACACAAGGGAGCCAACCAAGUGGUAGCCAAUAAGUGCCGAGGCAAGCAAGUGGUAGCCAACCAAGGAAAAGGUCCAAGAAAAAUUAUGCAAGCACAAGCCAACAAGGAUCUACACAAGGGAGCCAACCAAGUGGUAGCCAACAAGUGCCAAGGCAACUAAGUGGUAGCCAAUAAGUGCCAAGGCAACCAAGUGGUAGCCAACAAGUGCCAAGGCAACCAAGUGGUAGCCAACAAGUGCCAAGGCAACCAAGUGGUAGCCAACAAGUGCCAAGCCAACCAAGUGGUAGCCAAAUAGGAUCUAGGCAACAAAGAGGGCGACAACUAGGACUUACAAGAGGCCGUGGUGGUGGUGAUGGUAGAGCUCGUGGUGGUGGUGUUGGCCGUGGUGAUGGUCUUGGCCUUGGUGAUGGUCUUGGCCUUGGUGGUGGACUUGGCCGUGGUGGUGGUCAAGGGCAAGGUUGUUGGAGAACGUAGUAAUUUCAAAAAAUUUCCUACGCACACGCAAGAUCAUGGUGAUGCAUAGCAACGGGAGGGGAGAGUAUGAUCUACGUACCCUUGUAGAUCGACAACGGAAGCGUUUGGUUGAUGUAGUCGUACGUCUCCACGGCCCGACCGAUCAAGCACCGAAAUUACGGCACCUCCGAGUUCUAGCACACGUUCAGCUAGAUGACGAUCCCCGGACUUCGAUCCAGCAAAGUGUCGGGGAAGAGUUCCGUCAGCACGACGGCGUGGUGACGAUCUUGAUGCACUACCGUCGCAGGGCUUCGCCUAAGCACCGCUACAAUAUUAUCGAGGACUAUCGUGGAAGGGGGCACCGCACACGGCUAAGAGUAUGAUCAUGUGGAUCAACUUGUGUCUCUAGGGGUGCCCCUGCCUCCGUAUAUAAAGGUUCAAGAGGGGGAGGCCGGCCGGCCAUCAUAGGGCGCGCCAGGAGGAGUCCUACUCCCUCCGGGAGUAGGACUUCUCCCCCAAUCCUAUUUGGAAUAGGAUUCACGAGUUGGGAAAAGAGAGAGAGAGAAGGAAGGGGGCGCCGGCCCCCUCUCUCCUUGUCCUAUUCGGACUAGGGGGGAGGGGCGCGCGGCCCAGCCCUGGCCGCCUCUCCUCUUCUUCCACUAAGGCCCAUUAAGGCCCAUAUAGCUCCCGGGGGGUUCCGGUAACCUCCCGGUACUCCGGUAAAAUCCCGAUUUCACCCGGAACACUUCCGAUAUACAAACAUAGGCUUCCAAUAUAUCAAUCUUUAUGUCUCGACCAUUUCGAGACUCCUCGUCAUGUCCGUGAUCACAUCCGGGACUCCGAACAACCUUCAGUACAUCAAAAUGCAUAAACUCAUAAUAUAACUGUCAUUGUAACCUUAAGCGUGCGGACCCUAUGGGUUCGAGAACAAUGUAGACAUGACCGAGACACGUCUCCGGUCAAUAACCAAUAGCGGGACCUGGAUGCCCAUAUUGGCUCCUACAUAUUCUACGAAGAUCUUUAUCGGUCAGACCGCAUAACAACAUACGUUGUUCCCUUUGUCAUCGGUAUGUUACUUGCCCGAGAUUCGAUCGUCGGUAUCCUAUACCUAGUUCAAUCUCGUUACCGGCAAGUCUCUUUACUCGUUCUGUAAUACAUCAUCCCGCAACUAACUCAUUAGUUGCAAUGCUUGCAAGGCUUAAGUGAUGUGCAUUACCGAGAGGGCCCAGAGAUACCUCUCCGACAAUCGGAGUGACAAAUCCUAAUCUCGAAAUACGCCAACCCAACAUGUACCUUUGGAGACACUUGUAGAGCACCUUUAUAAUCACCCAGUUACGUUGUGACGUUUGGUAGCACACAAAGUGUUCCUCCGGUAAACGGGAGUUGCAUAAUCUCAUAGUCAUAGGAACAUGUAUAAGUCAUGAAGAAAGCAAUAGCAACAUACUAAACGAUCGGGUGCUAAGCUAAUGGAAUGGGUCAUGUCAAUCAGAUCAUUCACCUAAUGAUGUGAUCCCGUUAAUCAAAUAACAACUCUUUGUCCAUGGUUAGGAAACAUAACCAUCUUUGAUUAACGAGCUAGUCAAGUAGAGGCAUACUAGUGACACUCUGUUUGUCUAUGUAUUCACACAUGUAUUAUGUUUCCGGUUAAUACAAUUCUAGCAUGAAUAAUAAACAUUUAUCAUGAUAUAAGGAAAUAAAUAAUAACUUUAUUAUUGCCUCUAGGGCAUAUUUCCUUCAAAGGUCGUUAUAGAGGAAUGUUUGGAUACCUCGAUGGACCAUUUUCGUAUGUUGCUCACUAACUAUAAUGUUCCAUAUAUUCUUGUUGUCCUUAUUCACUAAUAUGUUGCAAUGUACAUGUUCUUCCAUUUGUUCUUAUUGUCAUUACUAACUAUUAUGUUUCACUCAUUGUAGGUAUGGCGACAUCUCAACCCAACAAACCAACAAUGAAGGAGAAGAUGAGAUGGCAGUAUGGUGGGAAAAGGCUGCGAAGAAGCUGAGAGAGGAGGAUGCAGCCGCACUAAAGAAGAAGAAGGAAGAGGAGCUCGAAGAGAAGAGGAAGGAUAGAGAGAGAAUGUACCGUGAGUGUCGUGCUAGGGACCAUGCAUUGAAGAGGAAAUGUAAGGAGGCAGAGAAGAAGCGUCUCAAGGAUUUUCAAGAAAGAACCUUGAAACUUUGGGUAUUUGAAGAUGAAAAAAAAUAGAGGGAGAACAAGAUAUUCAUGGAGAGGGUGGUUAAGGAGGCUCACCGUAUAAGGAAAAGGGAGGAGGAAGAGGAAGAAGAGAGGAAGAAGAAGAAGGGAAAGAGGCCUUUCUCUACGCAAUAGAGCUAUGUCAUCUUCAACUUGCUUGUGGACGAUGAUCAUGUUAUCCUCUAAACUAUGCUCUUCGAUUUGGUUGUGAACUAAUAUGUGUCAUGAACUAUUAUGUAUUUUGGACUCCUCCUCAAUUUGGUUGCGAACCACUAUGUGUCAUUAAGUACUAUGUAUUUCCUCCUUGAUUUGGUUGUAUGAACUACUCCUCAAGUUGAAGUACUAUGUGUUAUGAAGUACUAUGUAUCAUGAAGUACUUUGUGCAUAUAUUGUCUUCAUAGUUGUUUUCCUACUUGCUAUGUAUACUAUGUGUGCAUAUGUUAUCUUCACAAUACUAGGUUUGCCAACAAAUUCACCAAGUCCAAGUUCAGUGCCUAGCUCGUGGGCGUUGCACUGCUUCGUGUGGUGCCUCCAGGCUAGGCGCCACACCAGCCUGUAACUUGCGAACUUUCUGUUGCUCUCUGGAUAGCUCUUCCCAGGCGUGCAACGCCUCAGAGCUAGGCGCUUUGAGGCGUUGCACGUCUGCGAAGAGCUAUCCAGAGAGCAACAGAAAGUUUGCAAGUUACAGNNNNNNNNNNNNNNNNNNNNNNNNNNNNNNNNNNNNNNNNNNNNNNNNNNNNNNNNNNNNNNNNNNNNNNNNNNNNNNNNNNNNNNNNNNNNNNNNNNNNNNNNNNNNNNNNNNNNNNNNNNNNNNNNNNNNNNNNNNNNNNNNNNNNNNNNNNNNNNNNNNNNNNNNNNNNNNNNNNNNNNNNNNNNNNNNNNNNNNNNNNNNNNNNNNNNNNNNNNNNNNNNNNNNNNNNNNNNNNNNNNNNNNNNNNNNNNNNNNNNNNNNNNNNNNNNNNNNNNNNNNNNNNNNNNNNNNNNNNNNNNNNNNNNNNNNNNNNNNNNNNNNNNNNNNNNNNNNNNNNNNNNNNNNNNNNNNNNNNNNNNNNNNNNNNNNNNNNNNNNNNNNNNNNNNNNNNNNNGCUUCGUGUGGCGCCUCCAGGCUAGGCGCCACACCAGCCUGUAACUUGCAAACUUUCUGUUGCUCUCUGGAUAGCUCUUCCCAGGUGUGCAGCGCCUCAGAGCUAGGCGUUGCACUGCUUCAUGUGACGCCUAGCUCUGAGGCGUUGCAUGCCUGGGAAGAGCUAUCCAGAGAGCAACAGAAAAUUUACAUCCCGUUUGUGGUCAAAAAAUUCGCUAAGUGUUUGUGUGGCGCCUAGCACAGAGGCGCCACAUGAAGCAGUGCAAUGCCCACGAGCUAGGCACUGCAUUGCUUCGUGUGGCACCUUCGGGCUAGGCGCCACACCAACACUUGGUGUUUUUUUAUCCCUCAUACUGGGUCAUUUCUGGCAUAUUUUCAAGCACAUAUACUUGCAUCACAUAAUAAACAAUAAUGAUAUUGAUUUAUGACAUUUUCAACACAUCUUCAACUUCAACAAAGACAAGAAUUCUUCGAGUGACCAUCACUUCAAGUUCAACAUUACUAGGACAUACAUCAAGUUCAACAUUACUAAGAGCUACCACCACUCUAAGUUCAACGACAUAACAAGUUCGACAUAAGCAAAACGCCCACUAGGCGAGUUACAUAACAAAUAGAGGACGACGACUAGUUCCUUGUGCGAUUUUUGGCUCCUACCCCCUCCUGUUGGCUAUCUUCUUCUCCUUCCUAGGAAGAGCAACAUGCUCCAGCUCCGGCUCCGGUUCCUCCCCGUCAUCCACAUAGUCAUCUAAAGCUGCCAUCCGCGAGGUGUCGACCGUCCUUUUGCCUCUUUGGGUGAAGUCUUCAGGUGUGUAUUUAUUGAUUACCUUCCUAGGCUUUAACUCGUAUGCUGACCGAACUUGAUAGGUCCCCAAGGUCAUAUCAUCAGGAACCUAUUACAAAAACAAAAGAUAUGGAAAGACCGUGUGUGAGGAUAUAGUUAGCAAUGCAUCAGCAAUUGAAUAUAUGCUCAUGCCAUACCUCUUGGGUGACCACACCCACAUCCUCAUCCUCCAAAGGAUCACCAUGGCCAGAAGUGAGAUCUGAUGGUGUCGCCGACCUAGACCGUUCUGGUGAUACAUACUCGGGGUCACGACAAGAAAAGGUUUGAUAGCUACCUUAACUUUUGGCCCUGGCGCUACAACAUGUACAAGUGAAUGAGACAUCGAAUGUAGCAACACAUGUUAAGUGCUAGUUUGAAGGAGAUGUGAACCUUAAUGAAUGCUCGAAGUGCACCUUCCCCAUCGCUUUUCCCAACUGGGAUUGUUUCCAAAAUAGUCUCGGUCUCAUCAGCUGCUUUCUUGAUCUGGGCAUACUAUGAACAGAAACGACAUUAACAUGUUAGGUAGGCGAAGAUGUGAAUAGUGCGAAUGGAAAAGCAAAAAGGGCAAAUACCACAAAGUUCAUCAUUGGAGCUGAAGGGACUGAGUUGCCUUUCCUGACUAAUGCGUUGUACUUGUGCCGAGUUAGCUCAUCGAAAAUGGUGGGAUCUUCCAAAAUCUCCUCAGCAUAUGCUGGAUUGCAUACCUCCACACAUGUACUUGCAAGAAACCAUGUGAGAUAGUUGUUGAACGCGAUUGGACAGUGCUCAUGAAGCUGGGCUCGUUUUCCAGCCUUAGCUUGCUCCACACUAAGCACAAACUGCACGACAUACUUCCUGUGAUGCUUGGCCCAAUCCUUGAUCUUCCGCUGCCUUUUCCUAUCCAACUUGCAAGUUAGAAAUAGAAUAUUAGCACCAUCCAAACCGCCGAGAAGCUGCUAAGUGCUCAAGGUUAAUUAUAUUUUACGCGUGUAGCAACUUGUCCGUGUCCACCCACUCCGGGGGUGUGGCUGGAACAAACCAAACUGGCGGUACACCCGAUGUGGCAGGUGAAGCUCAACCGCCCAGUUGCAUAUGAGUGGGCACCACAUAUGCCAAAGAUCCCUAUCCCUAGUGCACAUCGGAUUCACCCUGAACUCUAUAGGGUCACCAAAACUAUCCCCUCUUCCAUACGGCUCCCAUUCCACCUGCAAAAUAGCAUUGAAUGCAAAAUUGAUCUCGAGUUACGAUAGAAGCAUGAGAAUCACUUAUGCAAUGUCGAGUCACCUGCUCAGCCGUGAUCAUGUCCAGCUCGCUCUUGUACAACUUGUACAUGACCGAGGGAUCAUCCGUCAUCUCAUUUAACACAUCCCACUUGUAAGCCCAAGUGGGGAGCUGUAGUGGGUCGUCUUUGUCGUCCCAAUCCUCGUACUUCACGAUCGUCGGUCAUCCAACCGGCAAACGCUCCCAGCUCCAUAUGGAAAGUGCGAGCAUAUAACCACCAAUACCUCCAGAUGGCCUACAAUAGGCUUCGUCCAACUGCAUAAAAAGAGAAAAUGGUUGAAUUAACAGGAAGAUCGCAUUGAUAAUGUAGCAAUGAAGUGAAAAACAAACAACUUCAUACCUGUCUAUACAAGUAAGCCAGUGUCGCCGAACCCGAACUCCAUUUGCUAUCGAAGACAGUCAAAGCCUUCAGCCACAUCCAUGGAGCAUUCUUGCCUGUGCCAUCAACAAACAUAGUCCGGGAUAUAACGUAUCACAUGUAGACACGAGCAUAUGUCUUGACCUCAUCCUCAUUAGCUUCCUCGGGGCAAGUACGAAAGUUCCAUGCAAUCCAACUGAAAGAAGCACCGGCCGCGACUCUUUCCUUCUUCUUGUCUUCUGCUUCUGGUUCCCGAGGCUCCGGAGGAACCAUACCGAUAAGCGCAUUCAUCUGCGCAUGCCACCCAUCAGAAUCGGUGUUCAUACAUAAAGGAUUCCCCUCGAUAGGAAGACCGGUGAUCAUAGCAAUAUCCUGGAGCGUCACGGUCAUCUCCCCGGUCCGAAGAUGGAAACUGUGUGUCUCCAGCCUCCAACGAUCAAUAAGCGCGGUGAUUGUUGCAGCAUUGUGGGCAGGUGUCGACCGGCUAACCAAUUGAAUGAAAGGGAGAAGUCAUGUCUCCCUUACAUACGGUGUGUAUCGCUCAUCAUAGCGCAUCCCCCAAGGUUGGCCCCGUGAGAUCGAAGCUUCAGAGGUGCAAGCUUCUACAAACAAACAAAUCAUAAAAUUACAUAUGGGGCAUUUGUGUUUCAAAUAAACACGAAAUUCAUAACACCGGCCACUAUCAUUAUUACCCGCUGCUCCACCGACAUAGCAUACGAUCGGUGUUGAUGGUCCCAAUGGUCAUCGAGAAGCCAAACCAUCCUAAAAAUUUCAAACAAAGCUUUCUUGUCAACAUGAUUAUCUUUUGAAUACAAAUAAACUAAAGUAUGCCUACUAUAUGCAAAAUUCAAAGCAUAUGUAUCCAAAGCAUUCUUGUCAAUACGAAUAUAAUUUCAACACAAAUAAACUAAACUAGGCCCACUUCAUGCAAGAUUAAAUACAAAUAUCUUUUCCAUAUAAAAUAACAUGUCAACCUAUGUAUCCAAACCAUAUCUUUUCAAUAAAAUCAACUAAACUAGGGUUGCAAAAUUAGGUAUCUAAUACAUGCAACAUUCUAAUCUAAUCUAAUCAAACAAGGGUUCCCCAAAAUCUUCAAAAUAGCAUACAUUUUAUGGAUAGAAAGAAGGGGAUCGGAGGAGAGUACCUUCNNNNNNNNNNNNNNNNNNNNNNNNNNNNNNNNNNNNNNNNNNNNNNNNNNNNNNNNNNNNNNNNNNNNNNNNNNNNNNNNNNNNNNNNNNNNNNNNNNNNNNNNNNNNNNNNNNNNNNNNNNNNNNNNNNNNNNNNNNNNNNNNNNNNNNNNNNNNNNNNNNNNNNNNNNNNNNNNNNNNNNNNNNNNNNNNNNNNNNNNNNNNNNNNNNNNNNNNNNNNNNNNNNNNNNNNNNNNNNNNNNNNNNNNNNNNNNNNNNNNNNNNNNNNNNNNNNNNNNNNNNNNNNNNNNNNNNNNNNNNNNNNNNNNNNNNNNNNNNNNNNNNNNNNNNNNNNNNNNNNNNNNNNNNNNNNNNNNNNNNNNNNNNNNNNNNNNNNNNNNNNNNNNNNNNNNNNNNNNNNNNNNNNNNNNNNNNNNNNNNNNNNNNNNNNNNNNNNNNNNNNNNNNNNNNNNNNNNNNNNNNNNNNNNNNNNNNNNNNNNAUAACACAAAAAUAUUUCAAGUCUUGAAUAUUGUAUUGAUAUCAAACAUGUAAUAGUAUAAGCUUUACAAUAAAAAGACUACAUUUCUACUAGUUUGAAUGCAGAUCUACGCCCCCCAGCCGGUCGAUCAAACAAAUCAAUAAUCUCAUUAACAUUGAACUUUGCAGCUAUUUCCUUCCCAAUGUAUACAACCAUGUAAGGUCGAAGAAAAUCGUCACCCAUUUUACUUCGGAGACGUGUCUUGAUAAUCUUCAUUGCUGAAAAAGCUCUCUCCGCAGUUGCAGUUGACACCGGGAGAGUGAUGACCAAGCGCAAUAAUCUAUCAACCAUUGGAUACACAGAGGCUUUACCUGUUUUAUGCAAUGCAACGGUCAAAUCAGCCAGUGAUGACGAAGAAUUCAGCUCUGGAUGGUUGCAAACAUCUAACUGAUAGUGUGGAAGUUGUGACUCCAGGCGAGCCUGCUCUUGACUAGAAAAAUCCGCUGGAUAGAAUUUGUCCACAAGCAUGCAAAUCUUUGAUAUGUCAAACGAGUCAUGCCUUGGAUCCAAGGAUGCACAGAGUGUCAUUAGCUCUGUUGUCUGAACGCUAAAACGGUCAUUUAGCUCAACCAGUUGUUGAUCUAUCGCCACAUUGAACACAUCUGCUUUGUAGUGGUGAAGCAUCGUGAUGUUAUUAUGUGUAUUCCGAGACUUAGUCACAUCAACAUACCUGUAAAUUACAAAUACAGUAUAUGUGUUAGAGUAAAGCAUAUGUGAUCAAUAUUAUUCUAUUAUACAGUAGAGGAAAGGGAGUAAGGGACAUACUUGCGACUCAUAUCGGGGAUCUCAACUUCAUGCUUCACACAAAAGGUCUUAACCUCCUCUAUGAGAGGUUCCCAUCCUUCCUCUCUUAGAUCAGCGAGGAGCACCUUAGUGUUAGAGAGUGUAUCUAAUGCAUUCAAAAUGUCCAUAGAUUUCUUCUGGAGUGUUUGGCACAAGACAUCUGUGAUUUUCAUAAUCCUCUCCAUGAGGUGCAAAAUGAACACAAAAUCAAAAGAAACAAUUAUCCUUAGGGCGCCUCCAGCAUCUCCACGGGAAUAUUGUGUCACCGAAUGAUCAUUCGCUAUACCUCGUAGGACUGUAAUUGUGGCACCAAACAUCUUCCUCAAGCUCCGAAUUGACUUGAAGUGCGAACUCCAUCUAGUGUCUGCUGGUCUCUGUAAAGAACCUAUCUGGUUUGCCCCUUUUCCCGUAUCAAGAUCCCCCAGUUCAAUUUCACGUGCAAUUUCGGUGGCUUGAUUUGCUAGUAACUCAUCAUUGCGUUUAGGUGAAGCACUAACAACAUUUAUGACAAAAUUGGCAUGUUGAAAAAAAUUAUGCACUUCAUGUACCUCUCGUGAUGCUGCAACAAGGGCCAAUUGAAGCUGAUGCGCCAUACAACGAAUGUAAUAUGCAUAAGGGCACGCCUUCAGAAUUAAAGCCUUCAAUCCGUUCCACUCCCCUCGCAUAUUACUGGCCCCGUCAUAGGCCUGACCUCUGAUAUCUUCCACAUUUAAAUUGUUAUCUGCUAGAACAGUGCAAAUUGUCUCCUUGAGAGUCAAUGCAAGAGUGUCAUUCACAUGAAUGACAUCAACAAAACGCUCCUGUAUGUACCUUCAGUGUCAGGAAACCGGAGGACCAACGCCAUUUGCUCUUUCUUGGAUUCAUCGCGAGCUUCGUCAACCAUUAUACAAAAUUUGCUAUCACCAAUUUCUUCUCUAAUUGUUCUUUGCACCUUUCGAGAAAGUAUAGCAAGAAUUUCCUCUUGAACCUGAUAAGAUGUGUACUUUGCGUUUCCAGGAGCAUUUUCCAAGACAACAUCUUUCACCUCCUUGUUAUAAGAAGCCAAAAGUUUUACGAGUUCUAGGAAAUUACCCCGGUUAAUGGAUCCCGGAGAUUCAGCAUGCCCUCUAAAAGCACAAGCCUGGAAUGUUAACCACCUGCAUCAUGUCAUAUAAUUGUUUUGUUAGGAUACUACAAGAUAUAAUAUUUUAAUUAUUGUAACAUAAGAUGGAAGAAAAAUAUUGCUUACCGGAUGGAAUCAAUUGUAACUUUGAGCCUUAGCCUUGCAUCUAAAAUUGUUUUUGCGGUUGCUUUCCCAUACACCUUAUCAAUAUGAGUCAUGCUGUUUUUGAAAUUAUCAUAACAACAAACUGAGAAGUUAUGGGCUGAACCAGCAUCUUUACCCAUAUGAGUUAAAAAAGCACACUCUUUCCCAUUAUUCACCUUCUUCCACCUAUCAAAGCCCAAAACAGUAAAUGUUUCUGAGUCGCACUUCCCAAUCGGCUUUCUUGAGAAGAGGAAACAAUGGAAGCAAUAUGCACGCUUUGUGUAAGGUGAAAACUCAAGCCAUUCAAAAUCCUUGAACCAACUGUACUAGAAACGCCGACGAUGUUUUGGUGGAUCAUCAUUAUAUGGAUACUCUCUCAUGUAUGGCAUGUAUCGGCCUUCAGAAAUAUAGAAUUGGCGUGCUUCAUUUUGCUUAUCAAGAGGGAGUUCCCAAAUCUGUUUGCGCUUUCCAGGGUCUCACUCGAAUGGUGUGCUUCCGAUUCUUUGUUGUUCUAGAACUUCUACUUCUACAGAUGCCUCAAUAUUUUGCUUGGGGGGUGGCAUAUCAACUGAACUGAGAUUGGGGACACUGUUAUCAGUGGGUUGCUCUGUGACAUCGACCUCCACGGUUGCAUUUGCAUUUUCAACUGUAGAGUUUGAAGCAAUUGGCUUGAAAAAAUUACUUAUCGGUGGUGUCUUCUUCUUCCUCAUGACCUAUGCAGUUCUUAUAUAAGUACAAAGCAGAUAUGUAAUCUGGAAUUGAUGUGACAAGUGCCAAAAUAUACUAAGUCACUAACCACUAAGUAGUAAGUACUAACAGUUGAUCAAUUGAUUUAUUGAAUCAAACUGACGAGUAGUAUGAACCUGACAAUAAUACCUCCUUCUCUGAUCACGGGACAGGAUCAGUUAGGAAUUCGGUGUGGGAUUGUGGCGAUUCCGUGCGGCUGCCUGUACUGGAUUGAUGCGCGGUCGGCGGCAGCUUCGCGAAUCAGCAAUCGACGACGGGCGAAACACGGCGGCGCGACGCCCGGCGGCCGGCGUCAAUGAAGCCCUAGCGCCAGCGGCUAGCGGCGCGUCGCGGACGAAAGAGUCCAGGUCUCCAGGAAGCUAGUCGCGUGCGUGUCGUUCAUCGUUGAUCGAUUGAGAUGUGGAUGCUACCAGCGUAUACAUGCGUAGUAUGCAGGCUGCAGCCUCGGCCCUUGGCCCUUCUUGCGUUUUGGGCUUGACAUGAGUUUAGCCCAUGCACUAAUGGCCUGAUGGCCGGAUAAUUAUGCCUAAACUAUUAGUACUAGUCCCCGCUGGAGUUCGUUGGGGGGGCGAACCAUGGGGGGGUCUGGCCCCCGCUCGCCCCCCUGCCUCCGCCUCUGGCUGGUCGUGACCACAGAUGCAGGUCGCUCAGCAUGAAAGGUAGAUAGAGAAAUGCCCGUGCAUUGCCACGGGCUUUUGGAAAAAAAUUAAGAUGCUACUCACGGAGCUAAAAUAACCAAGAAUAAUGCCGUCUCAACUAACUCACAUUUUUUUCUUGACAAUCAGCUAACACACAUCAUACUAUCAUACUAUCGAAGCCUUCCCCACCUUCGGCCAUCAAUUGGCCAUUCACAAGAGGGCGGCGGGUGCGGGCGCUAGACUUGGUCAACUACGGGGUUGCGGCAGCCGAAGAUCGAGUUGCACGUGGGGGUGUAGGGAGGGAAACAAGCACACAAGCAGCAGCGGCAUUGCGACGGGCGAUCGUGCCGCGACCUUUACCUUUUCCCGGGCAACAGCCAGAGGCCACCACGCUCCUCGGCUCUCCCUCCUCUCUUCCAUGCCUGGCAACAAGAUGGGACGAGAUAGAGAGGAGGCAACCAAGAUGUUUUUCUAUAUGGCGACCAAGAUGUUUUUGUUUACCUUCUGAAUUCUUCUGAUGGCUUAAUUACCUUGUGAAUUCUUCUGAUGGCUUCUCAAUGAUAUUCAGUUAUAUUGAGACGAACGAAUGCCCUGCUGUCCAAUCACUUGCCACCAAAGGUAUGUCCUGUAUGGUGUAUAUUUGGCCAGAUAUGUUCAUCGCACAUUCAGAAAACACAAAAAGAAUUGUGUACCUGCUAUCCAUUUUGUCUUUUAUAGUGAUACCUCCUUCUUUUUACAUUAUAUAAUUGUGCCUCAUCUACAUUACUUAACCCUGCUUAUGUAUAGAUUGUUGAAGUAGUGUGCUGCAAGCUGACUCCCUUAUGGAUGACACUGUACAACCACUUCACACACUCCAAAAAUGUAAGGAAAUUCUGUACCGUUCUGAGUUUCAAGCAAUAUUUAGUAGGCACAUGUAAGGUAGUCGGAGUUAUAUUUACAGGAGUCUGUGGUUGACCCUGUCAGGUUAAGCGCUUGAUAUCUGAAGAAGCAAAGAGUACUAAAGUUUUGGCAUAUAUUACUGCUCUUAAGAAAUUAUGCAACCAUCCGAAGGUAAUUAAUUCCAGUUUAAUGUUUCGCCCCANNNNNNNNNNCUGGAGAAGAGGGUCGCCGCCGCGUACAAAUCUGUUUCUGUAACUGCUGCAAUGGGGUGGGUGGGGGAGGAGAGGGCCGCCGCGGCUGGAUAAGUCACAGUGCAGCGUCCGAGCGCUAGGCGCUGCACAUUACAUGUGUGACGCCUAGCUCGGAGGUGCUACACUGAUGGGUGCGGGUCCAGGGGCUGCCAUGGUGGAUAGAGGUGCAACGCCCCAGAGCUAGGCGCUGCACCGUAGGAUUUGGUGCCUGCGUGUUGGGCGCCACACGAAAAGGUCAACCGCAUGAAAUAGUUUCACGGGCAGUUCAUUCUAUGAUUUGAUUUCGUCCUGAGGUCAAAAUUGUCAAAUUUGCCGUUAUACGACAUGGCAUGCGCACAGUGAAUCGUCAUGUUUAUUCAGAAUAUAUGCUUCAUUUGGACCGUAUGGUGUGUUUUAAUUUGAAUUUAGAAGUUUGAAAAGAAGGUUGAAAUGUCCAUUUGAGGAUGAAUCACAGUUGCCAGAUGCCCAACAUUCGUUGGGGGUGCUGCGAUGGCACCCCAUAGGUCGUUGUUGUUUGUAGAACCUCAUACAGCAUCAGCUUCUGCUUUUGCGACUUUGGCGCACUUGAUUAAAACUACAGUUGACAAAAUUAAAUAGUAAAAGCAUACAAAUUAAGACUUAUGGUAGACCGUACCUGCACAUGGGCGAUAGAACAAAAUGCACCAAGACAAUAGAAUAAAACUCACAGGGUUUGCUUUGGUUGCACCACUGGACACUAUUCACGUCUAGAUUUAUCGUUUCAUUUCUAUUUAGAUAGAGAAUUUGUAUUUUUUUUAGAGAUUGUAGAUAUGUGAGCAUUCACAAUUUUUCAGAUUUUUUUAAACUUCCGAAUUUUAAUUUUAUGCAGUGAGAUCAUUGUAUCACAUGAUACUUUCCCCAGAGGGCAGGACGAUAGACCACAUACAUUCUCCUCUGCACAAUUUUCACCCCACAACAAGCAUAUGUAUGAGAAGUAGUCUCGUAUAAGAAUCAUAUGUAAGUCGUUAGUUAUGUUGUCUUUGGCGGUCAGAAAAUCAUCACUGGAUUCAGCAAGUUGACAUCAAAGUUUUUUCCCUUGCCCUUAGUUACAAAAUUACGAUUUACGAAUGUGCGGUGUUGGUAUCAAACACGUUAAUAACACUUGCUAAAAGUUCCAGCAGCAAUAUGCGGGCAUGAAACUACUUUAUAAUCAUUAUUGAUAACAGCCAAUGUCAUAGGAGUACAAGAUUAAGCUCAACACAUUAUUUUAUUUCACUUGCUCGAUCUGUAACAGGGGCAACAGAUGGAGGUCGAACACAUGCAGAAAACAACAGCGAACACAUGCAAGGAGCAGCAACAGUAGACACCGAGUCGGCUAGCUAGCCUGGUGUGAUGAUGAUGCUGGCAGAUAACUUAGUGAAGGCUGGAAACGCACAGACACAAAAGCUCAACGAUUAAUCUUACUGUUUAUACUUACGAAUUAAGGUUUAAUAGCCAAUGAGUACUUAGAAUUAUAUAAUAUAAUCUUUCAAGUUAGGGGUGGAGGAUGUACGUGUUGCAGUCGACUUUGGUGUUGAUGGGGAAAGAGACGGAGACACCGCACUUGCCGGGGAUGUUGGCGGCGUUACCCAUGCUGAUGCCCGACCCGGCCAGCUUCUUGAGGCAGCGGCACGCCGCCUGCCGGUCGGCCGAGGUGGACGCCUUGGCGUUCAGGGUCCUCACCCCGCUGCAGCACCCCGCCGAGGGCGCCGACGCUUGCCCCGUCGCGUAGGACAUGCACGGCGCGACGGCGGACGUCACGUCGCCGCAGGUCACCGCCCCGGACGCCAUCUCCGCCACCGCCAGUGCGGCGAGCACGGCGAACACGGCGAGCAGUGCCACGCGAGCCAUCGAUCGAGGAUCUAGUGCUUCGGCUUGCUUGCUGGAAACCGUGGAGCUGGGAUGGAGUUGAGAGCUUGAUUAGCUUGUGUGGUGGUGGUGGUGGAGAUGGAAUAGAACUCCGUGGAGCGGGGUAUAAAUAGCCGGCGGGCGAGAGAUGGCUAGGAAGAAGAUAGGUGUUCUUGCAGCACUGCACUCCAGGGUGGCGGACGGUGGUGCGUGCAUGCACCGUACGUCCUACUACGUAGCUAAUGAGGCGUGCAUGCAUGCGCAUGAGGUGAGGGUUGUUGGGCGCUGCCGACCGUACGAUGUAUCAACCGGUCGCGUCCACUGCACGCAUGUGACGCUUUUUUAUUCACAUCUACUACUCCUCCAAUACAUAGUUAAGUCCAUACUGUGUAGUGUGCAGAUUCACAAAAGCUUCUGCGUGCAAAUAAUUCCAAUGUGAUUUUGCUCGUGUGAACGUAUGAAACCCGUAUCGAGCCAGUACUGUGUAGUGUGCAGAUUCAUCACUAAAAAAAAGUGCAGUGUGCAGAUCUGGACGAAGGACCAGUAUAGCUGGUGGGCCGUCGUUGUCAACACAAAAAAGGGACGGACAUGAACAUGAUACGGAGUAAAUUAUGUGUACGAUCGAUCUAUCCAUCUACCAUGCCAUGCAUCGUUAAAAGCGAAGUUAGGAUCUAUGACUAGUGAAGUACUUAUUAAUUUCCACCGGCAUCUGUACUGAUCAGGCGGUGCAGAGUGAUCAAUGCCAGAAACAUGCGUCUCUCUCUCUCUCUCUCUCUCUCUCUCUCUAUCUCUCUCUCUCUCUCUCGGUUCUCUCUUAACUCCAAUCCAGUGGAGUAUACAUCAAUCAUAUACUCCUACUGUAGUGACUUCAUACGGAGUACAUCACGAAGAUUUGUACGCAGUAUUUGUAAUACGUACUCCUAAUGAGUACGUAUUAUGUUCCCUGCACAUCAUAAACAAGUAACUUUUUCUAUAUGUCUUGAGUCAAACUUUAUAAACCUCAAUGGAGUAUUUGUAAAUCAUAUGUUUAGAUUAGUCUCUAAAGGCAUAUUCAUGACAUUAUAAUACGAGUGAAUUUCAGUUUUUGCUCCUUACUUUCACAUUUUUUAUAGCAAUCAGCCCACAACAACUCCUCAUCCAGAUUGCCCCAUUUAACAAAAAAAUUGCCCAUUUUGUACUCCAAAUAUUUUUAGAGUAAUCUACCAGGUUGGUCCCAUCUGUCGGUUAUGUGUGGCGUGCCACGCCGUGUUUAUUCUACUAGCGAUUUUCCCGCACCAGAACCCAGUUUGCCUCCUUUAGCCGGACCAACCCCGUGUUUAGUGACCAUGUUGUAAGCCUUGUUUCUUUUUCUAGAAUACGCAUAGUUAAGAAUAUGUAUCAUAUAUUCAUAGAAGAAAGGGCAAGACAUCCGUCCACAGAACUACAACGGGGCACUUAGCCCAGAUUACAUGGAUUACUCGCUAAAGACCCGCCUAAACAACCUCUGACAAAAAAUAAGGACAUGUCUCCAUGAAACAACCUCACUGCAGCCCAAGUCCGCCCCUCCUCAUAGAUCAUGCCGAGCACCACCGUGAUGGAAGGAGAAGCAUUGUCAAAAGAUGAUUGCAUUGCGGCGCUUCUAGAUUUCUCUGCACACGAGAAGAGUGAGAGUAUGCAGGUCCUUCCUCAUCGGAGGUGUUGUCUACAAUGAAGCUGUUCACGACAGGAGACGAUCUAUUCCUUGUGGUGCCCAAGCCUUGAUACCCCACGCUGACACCGGAUGCCAGACGACACUUGCGAAACCGCAGGCAACAAACAGAUGAUCAAUGGUUUCCGGCAGUUGAGCGCAUAGCGGGCAAACAUCCUGAUGUGGCAAUCCCCGCCUCGCCACCUGAUCAGAGGUCCAACACCUAUUCUUAAAAGCAAGCUACGCAAACAACUUGCAAUGCAACGGAGCCCGGCAUUCCCAAACCAUCCUUGCUGCAAGGUCAUGUUCACGAACGUCAAAAUGACUCGCAUAAGCUGACUUGGUCGAAUAUUUUCCAGAAGCCUCCCAAGCCUAGCGCACUACAUCAUCCACAUCGUGUCUAAGUUCCACGCCUGACACCAGGUGCCACAGCUGCAAGUAAUCCCCAAUCUCCUCAGCACUGAGAUCCAACCAAAUACCUCUCGGCCAAAGUCCAGCUAGGGCCUCAUCCACUGUCCUGGAGCUCCUUACUCUGGGACAUAUGCGCACAUAAAGUAUUGGGGCGAUCUCCUGAACUCUCUUCCCAGAAGCAUGUCCCUCUUCCAUUCCCUACAUCAACAAAAACUGCCGCUCGAUAAACUGCCAAGUAUUUUGCCGAAAUACUGAUGUCAAACUCCGCCCACGGCCUCUCCCUGUCAACCCUCCGUAGCCACAACGAUAUAACCCUUAAUGUUGUAUUCAUCCAACACAAGUCAUGUAACCCUAGGCCACUAGUCCACUUAGGUGUGCAGACGAUGUUCCAGGCAACCAUGCACUACCCACCAUUCGCCGCCGAGCUCCCUGCCCAGAGGAAGCCUCUAAAGAUUUUAUUUAUGGCGGCAAGCACCUCCGCCUUAUUGAUGGGGACUUUGGAGUCAACAUGUAUUAUAUCUGAAUUCAUGCUAUCCUCAUAUAAAUGCAUAGUUAAAACAUUAUUAGUAAACCAAAAACCUUGCAAAAUUAUUCAAAUGAGUUCUUAAAUUGGUGUUGUGAAAUAAAUGUGACCUAACAAUCGGCCUAGUAUUUAUCGUAGGCCCUCCAUGCCAUAAUAAACCCCUUUGAUUAAUUUCAAUUAUAUAGACUAAUUCUGAUAUUUGAAUAAAGUGAUAAUUGUUCAAAUUUAAAUAUUGAUAGAAUUAUAAAUUAUAUCGUAGGUGAUAAGUUCUUUGAUGAGAUUUCAUGAAAAUAAAUAUUUGAGGCUUUAUAUGGUAGUGAUUAGUUCUAGUAAAAUUUCGUCAAUUUUGAGGUCAUUUCACCUACUCACGUUUCAAAUCAAAACUUGGGGCAUCACUUAGUUUGACUGUAAAUGACAGUCAACUCAUCGGAUUUUUUUUGAAACUUUCAUAGUAAUUAGAAAUAACAUAUAUGAAACCUAUGGAUUUUUAUUGGAGUUUUAAGCCUUGAAAAUAAUGUAUUUAACUAUUUAAAAGAGUUGAGGAAUAAUAAGAAAAGGAAUAGAUUAAUACUUAUCCAAAACCCAAACCGGGCCUAAUCAGGCCAACUCGGCUUUUCUCCUCUUGAACGUUACCUAGGAAAAUAAACAAGGCGACAACGACAAGAGUUUGAGACGCGACUGAGAUCUCACGGGUUCCCUCACCUCUAGCCAUGCGCCAGAAGGCAGGGUGGGGUGGGGGGACCUUGGGUCCUCCUUGGAAUGUUCAGAAGUUUACGGUAGUAUAGACUUUAUGGUCGUUGUCGGCGAUAUUCACCCAGAGGGUGCAAUAAUGUUGAGAAUAAAAGCGCUCUGGUUCUUCCUUUGAUGCGCCGGCGCCUUACUAAACAUCACCAUAGAAUUAAUGAUAGAUAUUGUGUCUCCGCGGGUUUGGUCUUAUAGGUUUUGGGUUUAUGUUCUUGCAGAUGCAUCCAUGAGGAUUUGAUGAGCUUGUAUUAUUGUAUCUUCUGCUUUUGUUGGUAUGUUCUUUUGUGCCUUCUUGGAGUGCUUCUCAGGCUUUUUCAUGAAGAUUUUGUGUUCGACGACCUCUAAUCUCGUGGAUCAUCCUUGGCCCAAGUACAUUAAAUGCUCAACAAUUUCCACCUCUUUGGAUGGGAAACUGAAGGGGGCUUUUGAAAAUCUUGAAAGUUGGUCGAUUUUGUGUAGGUAUAUGGGGAGUGGUGCCGCUGCUCUUGUCUGGUUGUUGUACCGUUGUAGAAGCUUUUGAUAGUAUUUCCCAUGUUGCAGAUUGUUGUUACUUUGGAGGGGAUGAACACCACACAUCUUCAUUUGGUCUCGUAUAAGAAUCAUAUGUAAGUUAGUUAUGUUGUCUUUGCUGGUCAGAAAAUCAUCACUGGAUUCGGCAAAUUGACAUCGUCAAGUUUUUUUCCUUGCAUUUAGGAAAAAUUUACAACUGUGCCAUGUUGGUAUCAAAGACAUUAAUAAAACUUGCUAAUUUCCAGCAGCAACAUGCGGGCAAGAAACUACUCCCUCCGCAAGGAAAUAUAAGAGCAAAUAGUGAUCUAAACACUCUCAUAUUUCUUUACAGAUGGAGUAGUUUAUAAUCAUUAUAGAUAACAGCGAAUGUCAUAAAACUUAAGCUCAACACAUUAUUUUAUUGAUGAUUCGAUCAGUAAUCUGCUCGAUCUGUAUUAACGGCAACAGAUGGAGGUCGAACACAUGGAGAAAACAACAACGAACACACGCAGAGAGCAGCAACAGUAGACACCGAGUGGGCUAGCUAGCCUGGUGUGAUGAUGAUGCUGGUAGAUAACUUAGUGAAGGCUGCAAACACACAGACACAAAAGCUCAACGAUUAGUCGUACUAUUUAUAGUACUUACGAACUAAGAUAAAAUGGCUAAUGAGUACUUAAAAUAUAAUAUUUCAAGUU
rnacentral:lncRNA from 1 species